rnacentral:rRNA from 1 species
AUUGAACGCUGGCGGCAUGCCUUACACAUGCAAGUCGAACGGUAACGCGGGGCAACCUGGCGACGAGUGGCGAACGGGUGAGUAAUGUAUCGGAACGUGCCCAGUUGUGGGGGAUAACUGCUCGAAAGAGCAGCUAAUACCGCAUACGACCUGAGGGUGAAAGCGGGGGAUCGCAAGACCUCGCGCAAUUGGAGCGGCCGAUAUCAGAUUAGGUAGUUGGUGGGGUAAAGGCUCACCAAGCCAACGAUCUGUGGCUGGUCUGAGAGGACGACCAGCCACACGGGGACUGAGACACGGCCCAGACUCCUACGGGAGGCAGCAGUGGGGAAUUUUGGACAAUGGACGCAAGUCUGAGCCAGCCAUGCCGCGUGCGGGAAGAAGGCCUUCGGGUUGUAAACCGCUUUUGUCAGGGAAGAAACGCUCUGGGUUAAUACCUCGGGGUAAUGACGGUGCCUGAAGAGUAAGCACCGGCUAACUACGUGCCAGCCGCCGCCGUAAUAC